AAUGAACGUUGGCGACAUGGAUUAGGCAUGCAAGUCGAGCGAGAAGAGUUUUGAAGCUUGCUUUAGAACUCGGACAGCGGCGAAAGGGAGAGUAGCGCGUAGUUAUGUGCCCUAGGGUCCGGAAUAGCCACGGGAAACUGUGGGUAAUGCCGGAUAAUAUCCACGGAUCAAAGGUGUGAUUCCGCCCUAGGAGCAGACUGCGUCCUACUAGCUAGUUGGUGGGGUAAUGGCCUAACAAGGCAACGAUGGGUAGCGGGUGUGAGAGCAUGACCCGUCUCACUGGGACUGAGACACUGCCCAGACACCUACGGGUGGCUGCAGUCGAGAAUCUUCGGCAAUGGGCGAAAGCCUGACCGAGCGAUGCCGCGUGCGGGAUGAAGGCCCUCGGGUUGUAAACCGCUGUCGUAGGGGAGGAAGGUUCCGUGAAGAGCGGAAUUUGACCUAACCUAGGAGGAAGUACGGGCUAAGUUCGUGCCAGCCGCCGCGGUAA
rnacentral:rRNA from 1 species